rnacentral:lncRNA from 10 species
CUCUCGGGGCUGGCCCCGGUGCUGGACGGCUGCAGCCGUGGACUCCGGGAGCUCCAGGGAAGAGGGUGGGGCGAGCUAAGAAGCUAGAAGCGUUUUGCCGUGAGCCAAGGACCAAGGACGGGAAUGCACGAUGUACGAGCGAGGAGUCAGGGACGGGGACUCCGAUGGCCGAUGACUCAGACCUGCUUUGCCUGGCUGGGGGAACUGGGCCAUGGGAAGAACACAGGACUGGCCCCGGCCCAGGCCCAACCCCCGCUUGGCCACGGCGGAGAGCCUGCCCCAGGCCCACCUGGCCGAAGCACCAGCAUCAUUCCAGGGGCCUCACCCUGCCUAACUCCCAAGUCCAUGUCCAACACCUUUUCCUGUGUCCACAAUUCUCAUGUGGUUCAAAGACGUAGAUCCAUUACUGUUUCCAGAUGAUCAAAGCAGCUACCUAAUUAACAACCGAGUGAAUGUCCAAGUUAGAGCUUUGGCGUUGGAACAGGAAGAACUGGAUUUGAAUCCAGCUCUACUAAUUAGUGGCUGACUUGGAUGGGUUAAUCUCUCUGACACUUGUUUAUAUCAUCAGUGAAAUGAGUGGCAGGGUAACAGGACCCACUGGAGAUGAUGCCUACAAAGUGCUAGGGGUUUUGCGUGGCAAGUGGCUUCAGAAACAAGGAAAGUACCACUGUUGCGAUUAUUCAGUUGGCUCAGGCAGGCGGAGGCUGUGCUUCCACAUCCCACAGGGCCCUGUGUCCCCAGAGAGCAGGACACGUAGGAAUUUGCCAUCUCAGUGCAGUGCACAAGGACAGAAGCAAGGGCAGCAGGGGCAGUCAGGCUGCCGGGGCAAGGGGCAAGCUUCUGUCCAAAGCAGAAACACUGGCUGGGCCUUCUUUGGUCCAGCAAACCUGGACCUUGGCAGGAAAAUGGGUAUAACAACGACCUCAGCUGGCGCUUGCGGGAACCCACGAUAGGUGCAGACCCUCAGAGGUGCAUGGGGUGUGACUCUCCCUCCACCUCUGUCCAGACCCCAACAAUGGGAGAGGGUGGCAGGUUUUCUGGGUGGGGGAUAGGAAGCCAGCAUCCGAGAACCUGCCCCUGGAUGGCAGGAGGCUAGGCC